UUUGAGCGCAAACAACAAGCGGAGAGAAAAGGAAAACAAGGGAAGUGGCGCGCCCGGGGAAAGUCCGGCUGACUGUGAGUCUGGCUGCAUCUACACCAGGCAUGGGCGAAGUUGGGCCCUCCAGGUGUUUUGGACUUCAACUCCCACAAUUCCUAACAGCCGGUAGGAAUUGCCUGCUCUACACUGUAGCAUGAAUGCAAUUUGGCACCACUUUAGCUGCCUUGGCUCAAUGCUAUGGAACUUGGGAACUCUCGUGCCUCCCCAAAGUGCGGGUCCCGGAAUUGCAGUGGGGCUGCUCCCAAGAAAUGAGGAGGAGCGCGCAGGGAGCUCGAAGUUUGUUCUUUUUUUGCUUUUGUCCUGCGUUACUUACCCCAAAGAUAAUUUUUUACCUAUUGAUCUACUCACAUUGGCAUGUUUUCGAAUUGCUAGGUUGGCAGGAUCAGGAGCUAACAGUGGCCGCUCCCGUGGUUUGAACCUGGGACCUUUCAGUUUCCAGCUCAGUUCUUUAACGCACUUCGCCACCCUAGCUAUGCAAAAUGAACUCUGGUGCUGGAGGAAAAUCCUGAGAGUGCCUUGGACCGCAAGAAGAUCCAACCAGUCCAUCCUCCAGGAAAUAAUGGCCGGCUGCUCACUGGAGGGAAGGAUACUAGAGGCAAAGCUGAAUUAUUUUGGCCACAUCAUGAGGAGACAGGAAAGCUUGGAAAAGAUCAUGAUGUUGGGGAAAAUGGAAGGAAAAAAGGAAGAGAGGCCGACCAAGGGCAAGAUGGAUAGACGGUAUCCUUGAAGUGACUGGCUUGACCUUGAAGGAACUGAGGGCGGUGACGGCUGAUAGGGAGCUCUGGCGUGGACUGGUCCAUGAGGUCACGAAGAGUCGGAGACGACUAAACGACUGAGCAGCAUGCAAAAUGGAUAUACAGUUGGCCCUCCAUCCCUCCAGAUUCAGCCAUCCCUGGCUCGAAAAUAUUUCUUUCAAAUCCAAAAAGGCAAACUUUGGUUUUUCCAACUGACUACACCAUUGCAUGCCAUGGGACAAGAGCACCCACCUACCUUGGUGUCCAUGGAGCAUUUAUAAAGGAUUCGCUCUUCAAGAGAAUAGCUUUUUGCAGCUCUUCUAGGUUGUUGGUGUGCCUUGGAUUGUGGAUAUUUUGUGUAAAUAGCGGGAACUGCUGUAUUCAGAUUUUAUUUAAUACAGUAGUUGUAUUAUCAGUUGGACCAUGCUCUGACUUACAAGAAGCACUGCUUGAAUAUCAAACAAAAAGUGGGUGCUAGAAAUAAUAUCACGUGAAAGCUGACUGGCACAACCUGGGGAUCACAACCAGAUACAGUGAAGACAUCAGGGCAGAUGUGCUUUGCUACUCUGCUGCUGAAUAUGCAUCCCAGAGUGGAAUACAUCUCACCACAUUGAAACAGUGGAUGUGGCUCUCAAUGAGCCAUGCCGCAUUAUCACAGGAUGCCUACAUCCUACACGACUGGAGAGAUUAUACUCUUUAUCUGGUAUUGCACUACCUGACAUCCGUCAAGAAGUAGCAGCCAGCAAUGGAAGGACCAAGGCAGUGACAUCGCCAACUCAUCCUCUGUUCAGAUAUCAGCCAGCAUGCCAAUGCCUUAAAUCAAGAAACAGCUGAGGUCUACAGUGAUACUCACAGGAACACCUCAGCAAGCAAGAGUCCAAAAGUGGCAGGUUAAAACCCGGAACCACAAUCCAUGGCUAAUGAUUGGAAACUCCCUCCUGGGCACACAGAAGACUGGGCGACUUGGAAGGCGCUAAACAGGCAGCGCUCUGACACCACAAGAUGCAGAGCCAAUCUUAAGAAAUGGAGCCACAAAGUGGAGUCCACAGCAUGCGAGUGCAGAGAAGUGCAAAGCACAGACCACUUACUACAAUGCAGUCUGACCCCUGCCACAUGCGCAAUGGAUGACCUUCUCAUAGCAACACCAGAGGCACUUGCAAGUGACUAGCUUCUGGUCAAAGGAAAUCUAGUAAUCUGGACGGACGCUUGGGCUCUUGUUGGGGAACUUCCUGAAGACGGGUGUGAUUCGUUGCUGGAUACGUAAGUUUACCAAGGACACUGGGCAUCGACGGCGGGAGGAACUGUGCGGGGUUUUUCUCUGUGCAACUUGUGUUUAAUCUCAAUAGCUUGGACCUCCGUCGUCUUUUUGACGGGCAAUACCUACUUACUGGAUUGACGCUGGACUGAUUGACUUCGAUUCCGGAUUAUCCCUUCUGCUGGCUAUCGGUGAGACCCUUGGAUUUCUGGACGGCUACGCUUGGCUAUAGACCUCUGGACCGGAUUGGGACCCUGCUGACUGCCGUCACCCUGACCGCUGUGCCUGGACCUGGAUUUCGUUGGCCGCUGAACCUUAAACUGAAUCCUGACUACGACAACGCUUUCGUCCGCUGCAGGAAGGAAUAAACAAGCCUGGUUUAUUCCCCUGCUGUUUCUGAGUAGCAGAGAGGAAUCUGCCACCAGUCUGUUGUUUACAUUCUGACUCCUGUUGAUCCUCUUUUGUUUGCAUUGUUUGCCAGGCUGAAGUAAGCACUUUGAUUUAAUCCGGAUUAUACUUCUGUUUAACCCGGUUUAUUCCUUUGAACCGUUUAAGCUCAAACUGAGCUGUUUUUUGUUAUUUAUCACACUGAAGUCAAGUGUUUGCCCUGUUCUUUGUUUCCUACGGGCGUUUUUAGUUCUGUAACCUCAAUAAACUGAGUUUUGUUUUA